rnacentral:rRNA from 1 species
AUUGAACGCUGGCGGCAUGCCUUACACAUGCAAGACGAACGGUAACAGGUCUUCGGAUGCUGACGAGUGGCGAACGGGCGAGUAAUACAUCGGAACGUGCCUAGUAGUGGGGGAUAACUACUCGAAAGAGUGGCUAAUACCGCAUGAGAUCUAAGGAUGAAAGCAGGGGAUCGCAAGACCUUGUGCUACUGGAGCGGCCGAUGGCAGAUUAGGUAGUUGGUGGGAUAAAAGCUUACCGAGCCGACGAUCUGUAGCUGGUCUGAGAGGGCGAUCAGUCACACUGGGACUGAGACACGGCCCAGACUCCUACGGGAGGCAGCAGUGGGGAAUUUUGGACAAUGGGCGCAAGCCUGAUCCAGCAAUGCCGCGUGCAGGAUGAAGGCCUUCGGGUUGUAAACUGCUUUUGUACGGAACGAAAAGCCCCGGGUUAAUACCCUGGGGUCAUGACGGUACCGUAAGAAUAAGCACCGGCUAACUACGUGCCAGCCGCCGCGGUAA